UAUCUCUCCAUCUGUCUCUGUUUUUGGUUUUAGCAAUUCUCUGUUUGUUCUUUUUGGCUUGCUGCACAAUUGAAAUUAAAUUGCUGCACAAUUCUCUGUCUCUGCCGUUUCUAUUAUUGCUGCACAAUUGUUCUUUUUAGCAAUUCUCUGUUUUUGGUUUUAACGCUGAUUUGGCUCCUUCUCUUCCGCUCGGAACCAAAAGAAAUUAAAGCACAACCAAAUGGCGUUAACGCUGAUUUGGGUCUUUCUCUUCGGUGGCCAGUGUUAGCGUCGUGAAUCUGUUGUUAUUUUGUUAUGAUGGAUUAUUUCCCUGUUUGUUUUCUUUUGUAGACAGAGUUGGCAUUACAAUUGUGCUGGGCCAGUGGGUAUAAAUUUACGAAAACGUUUCAUCGCCGCAGAACAAAAAUUUCUGACUCAAAAUAAAAUCACUCUCUCUCACUCUCACUCUCUCUCUCGAUCUCACUCCGAGAAACAACGAAAUCAACAAGACAGGAAGAGGAAGAAGAAGAAGGAGAAGGAGAAGAUAGACGGACCUAGAUCGAAUCGAAUCGGAUCGGACCCACAUACGCACAUCCUCUUGGGUUGUGCGUUGUUCCACAGGUACUGGCUUUAAGAAGACCCUUCCUCCACAGGGUGUUAGACUAUGAAGAUGAAUUCUUUGCUUUGCUGAUGCUGGUUCUUGAAACUCAUAGUUUACGAACAACAGGUGAGCAAUGUCGAUGGCCUAGAUUUAGCUGCCCAAUUGCAUGACCAAUAAGGAUCAAUCAUGUAGAGAAAAGCAACGGUGGAGGAGGAUUAGGCCUUGGAUGGCCUAAAGGUAGUGCAUCCAAGAGAGGAGAUAGAGAAACAGAAAGCUCAUGAGCGAUAUAUGAAAUUGCAAGAACAGGGGAAAACAGAACAAGCUAAGAAAGAUUUAGGUAAUAAAUCAUGUCUUUUAGAAUUUCUAAUGACCUUUUCUUUAGUGGAUAAGUAAAGGGCUUCUUAUAACCUUUUGGGCUGCUUUGGUUCUUUACAUCUUGGUUAGCUUCCAAAAUUUUGGGCAUUCAAGUUGUUACCUGCAUGUUUUCUUCAAAUUAUAUGCUUGAUAUCAUCUGAACAUCAGUUACGUGACUAAUCCCUCACCGUCUACUCCCAUCUCUUUCUUGGUCUAUUAUAAACUAGUUGACAAGCCUUGUGAUUUAGCAGUUAAUAUGUACCUUGGUAUAUAAUUGAAAAGCUUAAGUAAUUUUAUAUUUUGGAUUGUGUAUUACCAUGGCAGUCAAAUUCUUAGCCAAAGUCAUGUAACCUUUGCCAAAGAAACUUCUGUCUGCCUACCCCUGUCAAAUGUAGAACAGUAUUUAGGUAAUAAAUCAUGAUAAAUUACUCAUUUUCACUUUUAAUUGUCGGUUCUAA